CAACAAAAGCAAAAACAGCGAUGACGAUGACAACGAUGAAGAGGACGACAACGAUGACGACGAUGACAAUGAUGACGACAAAAACCACCACCACUACCACCAGCACAACAACAACAACAAUAACAACAACAAGAACCACAACAACAACAACAACAACAACAACAACAACAACAAGAACUACAACAACAACAACAACAACAACAACAACA
rnacentral:lncRNA from 1 species